rnacentral:rRNA from 1 species
UGGGGAAUAUUGCACAAUGGGCGAAAGCCUGAUGCAGCGACGCCGCGUGCGGGAUGAAGGCCUUCGGGUUGUAAACCGCUUUUAAUUGGGAGCAAGCGAGAGUGAGUGUACCUUUUGAAUAAGCACCGGCUAACUACGUGCCAGCAGCCGCGGUAAUACGUAGGGUGCAAGCGUUAUCCGGAAUUAUUGGGCGUAAAGAGCUCGUAGGCGGUUUGUCACGCCUGGUGUGAAAGUCCAUCGCUUAACGGUGGAUCUGCGCCGGGUACGGGCAGGCUAGAGUGCAGUAGGGGAGAUUGGAUUCCCGGUGUAACGGUGGAAUGUGUAGAUAUCGGGAAGAACACCAAUGGCGAAGGCAGAUCUCUGGGCUGUUACUGACGCUGAGGAGCGAAAGCAUGGGGAGCGAACAGGAUUAGAUACCCUGGUAGUCCAUGCCGUAAACGGUGGAUGCUGGAUGUGGGG